UACUUGCUUUAACAAGGCGAAACCGCGAAUGGCUCAUUAAAUCAGUUAUGGUUCACUAGAUCGUAAAUCCUACACGGAUAACUGUGGUAAUUCUAGAGCUAAUACGUGCAAACGGCUCGUUCCCUUGUGGAGCGAGCGCAGUUAUUAGAACAAAACCAAUCCGGCCUUCGGGUCGGUUAAAAUGGUGACUCUGAAUAACCGAAGCGGAGCGUAUGGUCUCGUACCGACGCCAGAUCUUUCAAGUGACUGCUCUAUCAGCUUGUUGCUAGGUUAUGCUCCUAGCAAGGCUUCAACGGGUAACGGGGUAUCAGGGUCCGAUACCGGAGAGGGAGCCUGAGAAACGGCUACCACAUCCAAGGAAGGCAGCAGGCGCGCAAAUUACCCACUCCCAGCACGGGGAGGUAGUGACGAAAAAUAACGAUGCGAGGGCAUAUUGCUUCUCGUAAUCGGAAUGGGUACACUUUAAAUCCUUUAACGAGGAUCUAUUGGAGGGCAAGUCUGGUGCCAGCAGCCGCGGUAAUUCCAGCUCCAAUAGCGUAUAUUAAAGUUGCUGCGGUUAAAAAGCUCGUAGUUGGAUCUGGGCAGCUGGAUGUGCGGUGCGCUUUACAGCGUUACUGCUCGUUUGGCGCCACAAGCCGGCCAUGUCUUGCAUGCUCUUCACUGCGUGUGCUUGGCGACCGGAACGUUUACUUUGAAAAAAUUAGAGUGCUCAAAGCAGGCGUAUGGCCUUGCAUAAUGGUGCAUGGAAUAAUGGAAUAGGACCUCGGUUCUAUUUUGUUGGUUAUCGGAGCUCGAGGUAAUGAUUAAGAGGAACAGACGGGGGCAUUCGUAUUGCGGCGUUAGAGGUGAAAUUCUUGGAUCGUCGCAA
rnacentral:rRNA from 1 species